UCAGAGGGGACAACAGUUGGAAACGACUGCUAAUACCGCAUACGAUCUAACCUCGGCAUCGAGGAUGGAUGAAAGGUGGCCUCUAUUUAUAAGCUAUCACUGAAGGAGGGGAUUGCGUCUGAUUAGCUAGUUGGAGGGGUAACGGCCCACCAAGGCGAUGAUCAGUAGCCGGUCUGAGAGGAUGAACGGCCACACUGGGACUGAGACACGGCCCAG
rnacentral:rRNA from 1 species